UACGGGGGGGGCAAGCGUUGUUCGGAAUUACUGGGCGUAAAGGGCUCGUAGGCGGCCAACUAAGUCGGAUGUGAAAUCCCCAGGCUUAACCUGGGAACUGCAUCCGAUACUGGAUGGCUUGAAUCCGGGAGAGGGAUGCGGAAUUCCAGGUGUAGCGGUGAAAUGCGCAGAUAUCAGGAGGAACUCCGGUGGCGAAGGCGGCACGCUGGACCCUCCCUGACGCUGAGGCGCGAAGGCGUGGGGAGCGAACGGG
rnacentral:rRNA from 1 species